rnacentral:rRNA from 3 species
AAACUUUUAACAACGGAUCUCUUGGUUCUGGCAUCGAUGAAGAACGCAGCGAAAUGCGAUAAGUAAUGUGAAUUGCAGAAUUCAGUGAAUCAUCGAAUCUUUGAACGCACAUUGCGCCCUUUGGUAUUCCGAAGGGCAUGCCUGUUCGAGCGUCAUUAU